CAGGUUCCUAUGUGUUCUGUCAGGGUGAGGUAGUAGGUUGUAUAGUUUGGUGGGAGGGAUCAGCCCUGCUCAGGUGAUAACUAUACAGUCUAUUGCCUUCCCUGAGGACCACACUAAACGC
rnacentral:pre_miRNA from 10 species